UUGUGUAGGGCUGAAUCAGGUGUGUUUGUGUAGAACUGAAUCAGGUGUGUUUGUGUAGGGCUGAAUCAGGUGUGUUUGUAUAGGGCUGAAUCAGGUGUGUUUGUAUAGGGCUGAAUCAGGUGUGUUUGUGUAGGGCUGAAUCAGGUGUGUUUGUGUAGGACUGAAUCAGGUGUGUUUGUGUAGGG